UUUUUUUAAAUUUUACACCGUAAUUUGUUUUGGCUUUCAAUUUCGUCCCUUUUGAAGCUAUGCGUUUUGGAAGGUGGGGAAAAUUGCCCAUUUGGUCCCUCCUUGUUAUUCGUGCUUUCAAAAUGGUCCUCCCCUUUUAUUUAUUUUCCGAUUUGACCUCGAAUUUUGUUUUAAAAUUCAAUUUAGCCUUUUUUUUUAUUUUUUUUAUUUUUUUUGUUAUUUUGGUUACUUUAUUAUUAACAUUAAUGAAUUUG
rnacentral:lncRNA from 1 species